rnacentral:rRNA from 1 species
GACGAACGCUGGCGGCGUGCUUAACACAUGCAAGUCGAACGGAAAGGCCCUGCUUUUGUGGGGUGCUCGAGUGGCGAACGGGUGAGUAACACGUGAGUAACCUGCCCUUGACUUUGGGAUAACUUCAGGAAACUGGGGCUAAUACCGGAUAGGAGCUCCUGCUGCAUGGUGGGGGUUGGAAAGUUUCGGCGGUUGGGGAUGGACUCGCGGCUUAUCAGCUUGUUGGUGGGGUAGUGGCUUACCAAGGCUUUGACGGGUAGCCGGCCUGAGAGGGUGACCGGCCACAUUGGGACUGAGAUACGGCCCAGACUCGUACGGGAGGCAGCAGUGGGGAAUAUUGCACAAUGGGCGGAAGCCUGAUGCAGCAACGCCGCGUGCGGGAUGACGGCCUUCGGGUUGUAAACCGCUUUCGCCUGUGACGAAGCGUGAGUGACGGUAAUGGGUAAAGAAGCACGGGCUAACUACGUG